UUGCACGCUGGCGGCAUGCCUUACACAUGCAAGUCGAACGGCAGCACGGGUGCUUGCACCUGGUGGCGAGUGGCGAACGGGUGAGUAAUACAUCGGAACAUGUCCUGUAGUGGGGGAUAGCCCGGCUAAAGCCGGAUUAAUACCGCAUACGAUCUACGGAUGAAAGCGGGGGACCUUCGGGCCUCGCGCUUUAGGGUUGGCCGAUGGCUGAUUAGCUAGUUGGUGGGGUAAAGGCCUACCAAGGCGACGAUCAGUAGCUGGUCUGAGAGGACGACCAGCCACACUGGGACUGAGACACGGCCCAGACUCCUACGGGAGGCAGCAGUGGGGAAUUUUGGACAAUGGGCGAAAGCCUGAUCCAGCAAUGCCGCGUGUGUGAAGAAGGCCUUCGGGUUGUAAAGCACUUUUGUCCGGAAAGAAAUCCUUGGCCCUAAUACGGUCGGGGGAUGACGGUACCGGAAGAAUAAGCACCGGCUAACUACGUG
rnacentral:rRNA from 1 species